AUUGAACGCUGGCGGAAUGCUUUACACAUGCAAGUCGAACGGCAGCACGGACUUCGGUCUGGUGGCGAGUGGCGAACGGGUGAGUAAUGUAUCGGGACGUGCCCAGUCGUGGGGGAUAACGUAGUGAAAAUUACGCUAAUACCGCAUACGAUCUAUGGAUGAAAGCGGGGGAUCGCAAGACCUUGCGCGAUAGGAGCGGCCGAUAUCAGAUUAGGUAGUUGGUGGGGUAAAGGCCCACCAAGCCAACGAUCUGUAGCUGGUCUGAGAGGACGACCAGCCACACUGGAACUGAGACACGGUCCAGACUCCUACGGGAGGCAGCAGUGGGGAAUUUUGGACAGUGGGCGAAAGCCUGAUCCAGCCAUUCCGCGUGCAGGAUGAAGGCCCUCGGGUUGUAAACUGCUUUUGUAUAGAACGAAAAGGUUUCUACUAAUACUAGGAGCUCAUGACGGUACUGUAAGAAUAAGCACCGGCUAACUACGUGCCAGCCGCCGCCGUAA
rnacentral:rRNA from 1 species